AUCAGACAUUAGCAUUUCAUUCAUUAGAUUUCAACAACAAAACAAUAUUGAAUCAAUGACACAGUUUCAACAUUGGUUACUUGGCUGGAGGUGGAUGGUUGAUCAACCGUCAGUUGUUGACCUCAACCAAAAAUCAACCAUUCUGACUAUAAUUCAAUGUUGAUUUACCAUUGUGUGCAAUCUGGGCAGUUUGUUGCAUCCCUCAUCACCUCCUCAUCUCCCCCUACUCCCUCCCAAACCUCCCCCACCCAGCCGCUCCUCCCAACCUUCUCCUCUUCACCCCCUCUCAUCCCUUCUUCCCUCCCCCUCCUUGAGCUCUGGGUCAGAACAUUUUAUUACUAGGUGGGGGUUAAUCAUGUUUCAAAUUAAGCACUACAUGUUGAGAACAGUGGGUUGUGAUUCCUUUCUGUACAUUUUCUUACUUGUCUGUAAAUAUUAUUACUGACUGUGCAUAAUGUGUUGACACAAAAACAUCUACAAGUCUCUACUAGGAGUUGUACAGUCCACCUCCCCGUUUUUACACUAGUGGUUUGUCCCAACCAAACAGCCACUUUGCUGCUGGCUUGUUUGCAACUGGCUUCUGAAUUGAAUUCUCCUCUGAGCAGUUUUAUGGCCUAAGUAUGAAAUCCUGCGAGAUUUUGUGGGAUUUGAAUUUUUAAAAUAGGGCGGGGCCUAUUGUUUGGUCUGGGAGAGCAUGUGGUGGACAAGGAAGUGUAAGGCUGGCUGCUCCAGAACAGCUGAGUUAGAUGACUGCAUGACCGUCUGCAGCCAUCAAGAAGUGCAGAAGGUUGUUAAUCAUCCACAGAUUCAAUCCAGCUGUUGCUCUGCAGUUUGACCGAAAGCUGACUCUUGAGGACUGCAGCAAAAUUGUCAAGAAGUGGCUUCAUUACGCACCAGAACGAGAGGAAGACAUCACAAGGAAUCAAAGUGACGCCAACCAGAGUCAAAC